GUUCUCUCUUUGGCAGCACAUAUACUAAAAUUGGAACAAUACACAGAAGAAUAACAUGGCCUCUGCGUAAGGAUGACACGCAAAAGAUAUGAUUACGUUGUAGUGGUU